GCGUGCGCCGCAGUCUCCUAGGCAACGACGCUCCGCUUGGGCCACGCAGGGUGGCGGCGCGCGUGCGCAGUGAGGGGGCGCCCUGCGCAGCUUGUGUGUCUGGACUUAGGGUUCCCGGCGAGGAUGGCGCGCGUGUGUCCCGAGGACGAGGCGCGGCUGCAGGCCAUGCUCCGGCAGCUGUUCCGCAGCGUAAAGGAGCGGAUCACGGGCGCGCCGUCCCUGGAGUGCGCGGAGGAGGUGCUGCUGCGCCUGGAGGAGACGGACGACAAUUUCCACAACUAUGAAUUCGUUAAAUACCUGAGACAGCACAUCUGCAACACUCUGGGGUCAAUGAUCGAAGAAGAAAUGGAAAAGUGCACUUCUGACCAGAAUCGGGGCGAGGAGCCGGGCUACGAUACGGUGGUGCAGCAGGUCACCAGGAGAGUCCAGGACUCCAGAGAGUAUAAAGAGAUGAUGCAUUCCCUGAAGGCCGUCAUGACCGCGGCGGUAGAGUAUAUGAGUAACAGGUUUGAGGAGGAAGAAGAGACGCGAUGUCCAGAGCAGCAGAAGAGAAGCCACAGGGAGCAGAGCAGCAGCUACUGCACAGACAAUUGCUCCGACAGCGACUCGUCCUUCACCCAGAGUUACAAGUUUUGUCCAGGAAAAUUGCAGCUGAUUGUAGACCAGUUGGAUCUCCGGCAACCUAAAGAGGUGCGGCAUGAGGCCCUGCAGACCCUGUGCUCCGCGCCUCCCUCCGACGUCCUGAACUGUGAGGACUGGACCACGCUGUGUGAGCGGCUAGCGGCGUCACUCUCGGAGCCCGACCCUGUGUUCAGUGACCGGAUUUUGAAGUUCUCUGCACAGACAUUUACGCUGCUGCCACUGCACAUGACCAAGGAGAUUUAUGCUAGCUUAGCGCGACAUUUGGAGCUGUACUUUCUUUCUAGAGAAAACCAUAUUCCUACUCUCUCAGCGGGUGUGGAUGUAACUCACCCUAAUGUGAGCUGCUUGCUUAAGAAGGUCCGUCUUCUGAGUGAGUAUCAGAGAGAGGUACCAUCUUUCUGGAUCCGUCACCCAGAGAAGUACAUGGAAGAGAUUGUGGAGAGCACGCUGGCCCUGUUAUCAGUCAGACCUGACCCGAGCCAUCUUGUGUCCCUGAAGAUUUUGGACCCCGUCUACUUUUUUGCAUUAGUUGACACGAAGGCCGUGUGGUUCCAGAAGUGGAUGCAUGCAUAUUAUAGCAGAACUAUAGUGCUAAAGCUUCUUGAAAAGAAAUACAAGUCUCUGGUGACAGCAGCAGUCCAGCAGUGUGUCCAGUACUUAGAGUUGUGUGAGACCAUGAAAGCUGAUGAGAUUUUGGGACAUUCAAGGCACGGUGGGGACAAACAGAAAGCUCUCUGCUACUCAGGACAAGAAAUGCAGUACGUGUAUUUCAUCCACUCGCUGUGCCUGUUAGGCAGACUGCUGAUCUACACACAAGGCAGAAGGCUGUUCCCUGUAAAGCUGAAGAACAGAAAAGACUCAGUAUCCCUUACGGACCUGCUGGUUCUGUUUACUCAGCUCAUCUACUGUUCACCAAGUUGUCCAAAGACGACCCUGGACAUCUCUUCAGAGGACUAUUCGCCUGCCAGCAUGGUGAUGGAAAUUCUGCAGACGCUCUGUGAUCAGAAGGAAUGUGCCAUCGAAUGUUUAUACAACAGCACUGUGAUGGGCACGCUCCUGCAACCGAUUCUCAACUUACUGAGAGGGACCGAGGCCACCCCAGAUUGCUCCGAGAUGGCUCUCAUCUACGCAGCUGAUGUCCUGGGCAGAGUUGCUGCCGUGGAAGAAGGACUUGCUUUCCUUCUGUAUGGAGAAAACACCAGCUCUUCCAAAGAAGAAAGUGUCCCAGGUGCUCAUGUCAUCGCGCAGUUUACAAAGAAACUUCUGGACGAGGAGAUUUCCAUCUUUCCCGGAUCGGCGCUGUGGCCCGAGGUGCAGGGUGCUUUCGUGUCUGUGUGCUCUCAGCUGUGUAGCACCUGCGAAGGGCUGCAGACACUGCUCCCUUACAGUUUACAUGAGGCAAUCACCCGUGCGUGGAGGAAGACACGUUUGCUGUCAGAAAGAACCCCUGCGCCAGUGCUGGGCUCUCAUUCUGUUUCCUCAGAGAGCCAGGGACCCCGAAAUGUCUCUUUGCCUGUCCCCUCUGCAAGCGGGUCCCAGGAGUCACGGGGAGUCCCAAACGUGGCGAGUACCAAGCAGACUGCGGCAGCUGGACGGGGCCGUGAGCCGCACACCCAUCUGUGCGGCCAAGCUCUUGCUGGCACAUUGGGCACUAAACAGGUGUUGAGCUCCGGGACAAAAGUUUCCAGCCAAAAUGUGUCCAAUACCAAGUCUGACGAGUUUCAGAGCAGUUACAUACCAAGGAUGGCUUGGGAAGAGAAUUUGUUAGACAACUUACUAAAUUUUGCUGCAACCCCCAAAGGAUUGCUACUUCUUCAAAGAACAGGUGUAAUCAAUGAAUGUGUGACAUUUAUGUCCAGCCAGUAUGCCAAAAGUUUACAGGUCAGCAGGUGGAAGAAGGUUGACUACGGAGUUCUAGUCACACAGGUGGCGUCCACAGCAGCAGGUGCGGUAGCCCUGCGAGAUUCAGGGUUUAUUCGUGUGCUUGUGGCUGGACUGUGGUCCAGUCUGGAGUGUGGGGGCGACGAUGCACGGGUGACCCACCCCAAGCCCACACCGGUGGACCCUAUCGACCGCAGCUGUCAGAAGGCUUUUCUGACACUGGUAAGCUUGCUGACCGCCCCCGCUGCCUACGAACUGCUGGGCCUCCAGGACCUUCCGAACAGAGCCGAGUACUCCCUCCGUGAAGUCCCACUGUGUGUCACGGAUAUAAUUGAUCGACUUAUCAUUUUAAAUUCUGAAGCUAAGAUUCAUUCUUUAUUCAACUAUGAACAGUCACACAUCUUUGGACUAAGAUUGCUCAGUGUGAUGUGCUGUGCCCUGGACACACUUCUCCUCCUGGAGGCCCAGUACCAGGUGUCCAGAGUGCUACUGCAGGCUCAGGAAGCAAACAUCUCAGAGGCCCCCUCGAGCCACAGGGGUUUCAUAAUCGACGGCUUAUCAGUAGAGAGAAACCACAUUCUUGUAAGAAUGAAUGUUAUCGGGGGGCCAUCGGAACGGAUUCUGCCUCCCAGGACGCUGGAGGAGGGUGAUGAUCCAUACCCUUGGCCAAUGUUUUCAUCGUACCCUUUGCCACACUGCUAUGUCUCAAAGGCUACAAGAAAUUCUGAUAUAAAACAAGAUGGUGAUCUUGGCAAGCUAUUAUCAUGCUUCACAGUGUCUGAUAAACAAAGCGAGUGGAUAGAAAACUGCCGGAGUCAAUUUUGCAAAAUGAUGAAGGCCAAACGCGAUGCAAUCAGCGGCGCUGCUUUAGGAGAAUUACUUGAAAAAUUUGUGCUUCAUCUUACUGAAAAUCCGUCUGAAUGUUACUUCCCCUUGGUGGAAUACACAGCUACUGAUGCAGACGUGAAGAAUGAAAGCCUUUCAACUGUGCAGCAGCUUGGUGUGAGGAUGGCUGUCAGGUACGGCAGGCUUCUCAGCUUGCUGAAGGAUGGUGCCGAAACCGAUCUUGCCUUGGUAUUGAAGCACUGCGACAGAUUUCUAAAGCUGCAGCAAGCACCUGUGAAAUCUUCUCUUUUCUGCCUGCAAGGGGCCUCCGCGGGCCACGAUGGGUUCGACUGGUUCGCGUCCUCGCUGUUCCUGCUGCUGGGCGGGGACCCCGAGAGGACGCUGCGUUGCCUGCUGCGCUUCUCCAGGCUGCUGGCCUCCGCCUUCCUGUGGCCUUCGCGCCUGCGCUGCUCGGUCUGCAGUUGGGAGAAGCUGCCUGCUACCUCCACCGCUCUGAACCCUCCGAGCCCUUCCGGUGACCGGGUCCAUGCCAGCAGGGGGUCCAUACCGAGACAGAGGUACCUGCCUGUGGAUACAGUGGAAUCAGGCCUGUCCCCCGUGUAUUUCUGCAGCGCUCACUGCACUGAAAUGCUACUGAAGACCGAGGUGCCGCUGGUGUUCUCAGCCUUCCACAUGUCUGGGUUUGCAGCGUCGCAGAUUUGCUUGCAGUGGAUCACUCAGUGCUUCUGGAAUUACAUGGAUUGGAUAGAAAUAUGCCAUUACAUUGCUACUUGCAUUUUCCUUGGUCCUGAUUAUCAAGUGUACAUCUGUGUGGCCAUAUUCAAGCAUCUGCAACAGGAGAUUCUGCAACAUACUCAAGCCCAGGACCUGCAGGUGUUCCUGAAGAUGAAGGCUGAGCUGUUCAAGUGUUUCCGUUGGGGUAUUAAUCUCAUCAGUGAUGCAGAUUUGACAAGAACUCUGGAUGCUGAAUAUUCUGUAUGGUGAGUUUUAGCAUGUAUUAAUUUCUUUUUCCUUUUGACACUUGAGAUUCAUUUGUAGGCUGAAAAAAUCCUCUCAAGUUUUGAUAUGUAAGGAAUGUAAAUUUGUUGCUGAGUGGAAAAUUAAUGGAAGUCAGGAAAGGAACUGAUGGGAUACUUCAGCUGUGCUCAUGACUGGUGGGAGAACAGUGCGCAUGCGCACCCCCCCACACACACACACCCAUCCCAUCCCAUUCCCCGCAGGCAGAGUUGCUGAUCUAUUUAGCAAGGACGGAGUAGUUUACUGGGGUGAGAAAGCCCCACUGGACACCAGCAGAUGCAUCACUGUGGUCUAGUGUUUCCUGGCCUGAAGUCAGUCACAAGGGAGGCUCAUCAGCAGGGUCUCCUCUAAGUGUGACCUAAGAUUCAAAAUACCCCCGCUGCUUUGGUGACCUUCAGCUUGCUCUUCAGAAAUACAUCAUUUUUAUUCAAAAAGUCCUGCUGAAGCUUUAUGUUUCUCUUGCAGACUUGGGCGCUGUUGCUCCUGCACCCAAACUUCACAUCACAGAGGCAGCACCCCAAUCUUGGAAAGGGAGCUGAGUCAGGGCUCAGGGGUCCGGGAGAAUCACCUGCCCCACCUUUACCAAGGCUCCCAUCUGCGCCAAACAGCUGCCUGCAGAAACCAGAGAGGAGCUAGAAGUGUUGCAUACUGAGUGCACAGCAUGGACCUAAUUUAGUAACACUAUAAAGAUAAUGUAACUUCAGUAAAAUUAUCAGGAACAGCAUUUUUAUAUGGUGAUUCAUUGUACAUUCCUACAUGUAUGUUACAUACUGUACCAGGGUUUAUGUAUUAUAUAGUGAUCUAUUGUACAUUCCUGCAUGUAUUAUAUACCACAUAGUGAUCUACAUAUUCUAUAAUACUUUUCUGCAUGUGCAUUACACACUACACAGUGAGUUACAGAUUGUAUAGUGACCUAUCAUACACUUCUGCAUGUGUGUUAUACUUUCCUAUAUGUGUAUAAAUCAUCAUAUAGACAUUUACAUAUUAUAUAGUGAUACAUCAUCCAUCCCUGCAUUUGUGUUAUAUAUUUUCAGCAACUCUACCAUCCAACCACAGUUUCUCUUAAUAUGCAAAUGUGUGUGUGUGUGUGUGUGUGUGUGUGUGUCCAGUAUUUCUCAUACCCUGAAGUCUAAACUUUUAUGUUUGGACAACACCGUGGUCAUGCUGGUCAAUGAUUUAAAAUUCCUUGCUGGGGCAAGGAGUCUGUGAGCUCACACUCUGCUUCUUCUAUUGCUCCAUGUCGGUGGGACCUGUGAGAAGAGUGUAAGGACACAUACCUUUCACUGGAGGAUGAACCAGAACAAGAUCCAGGACAACAGCCAGGCCCUGGGGCCAGGCCCACAUAGUCGUUCGCAGGGUGGGGCAGUCAGUGAACACAGUGAUGUAGAAGCCUCUGCAGCCACAGGGAGAGUCAGCAGCCGGGCUCUGGAGAACGCUACUGACAGAGACCAAUCCCAGUGCCACAUCCAGAGGCCAAGAUGGGCUCCACACCCAGCACGUCUCCGCCGCACGUGAUGGGCACUGUCACAGAGCUGCAAGCACCAGAGGUGUUUUACUACUGUCAUUCUUCCUAGUUUGUCUGAUUGGCUGUCCCUUUCCUGGUUGGAUAUCGUCUUGCUUUGUUUUGUUUUCUGUGGUUAUAAAAUUUAUAUUUGGGUUUUUUUCCCCUCUGUUUUAUCUUUCUCUGGUCUUCUUUUUCUGUCUUUUUUUCCUUUUUCAUCCUCUUUCUCUUCUUUCCUUUUUUCACGUUUUAUGUUUCUUGCCUUUUUCAUUUUCUUCUAGUGAUCCUCUAAUUUUCCUCCACUGUUUUUUGAAUUUAAACGUUCACAUGAGUAAUCAUUCUCUGCCGUUUCUCAUUACUCCUUUGCCUUCUAUUUCAGUCUUUCCUUCCUUUGUCCUCCAAUUUCCCAAAACUCAGUAAUCAUGCCUUGACCUUCAGCCUUGGCUCUAAUAUAUCUGACUUCAUUCAUCACUUUAUCCUGUUCCCUUUCCAUCUUAAACCGCCCCCCACACACACACAGAAGAGUAAAGUCACUCCAUAAAGGGAAAGUCAUUGCAUAAAAAUGCACACUGUAUGUUGGAUUCUGUUGUAUAACCUUAGAGUUUGCUCCUGUGGAUGGAGUUAGCAGGUUAAUGGUUACCAUAGUUUGUCAGUAGUUAAGCUGUACUUGAAACUAUUGUCAUUACUAACUGUACUGUUUGUCUACAGACAUACCACCCUGAAUGUGCCCAGUCUUGUCUAACUGUAUUAUUUUAGCCAGGAUGUCAUACACAUAUGUUACAAAUAGUUUUUCUUUCCUAUAUGAGAACACUGUGAUUGUAUGGGGUCAUAAUCAUCCCCACAGCCCAGUACAAAGGAUUGGGAGCUGAGCCAAAUAGUAAUUUUGCAUCCUUUACAAAUUGGGAGGGUAGGGUCCUCAGGUAGCUAUGAAGAGCCACCUACAUGUAGACAUGUAGGGAAGCCUCAAUACUAGUGAUAAAAGUUAUAUAUCAUAAGAAAUCAACAAACAUCAACAUAAACAAAAUAAGAUUAAAAAGAGAAAAUAGAAAUGAUAAGAUGCAGAAGCAAAAUGCAGCCCCAGACCCCAGCCCACCCAGGACAAGCCCAAAAUUCAGUGAGAUAGAUGAAAUUAGAAGUCAAACACUGGAACUUUCUAAAAUGAUAACAAUAGAAAUGAAAAAAAAAGUGGAAAGGCUAUGCAGAACAUAAUCUCUGGUACAAAAAGCAAUGAUAAAAUCACUAUCAGACAGGUAAAAGAAUAGAUAAGUUUUAAAAAAUGAUGUUGAAGUCAGGGUUUAUAGGAAAACAAUUUCAUACAGGACACAUCAUUUAUAGAAUUAUAAUAGUCACCCAAAGAGUCAAAAAGUGCAAGAAAUCUUUUCACACACUGAAGAUCCCCAAAGACUCCAGCUGAGGGUCUGGAUCCCACAGCAGUAUCCUGCAUGAGUCUAGCUGAAGAACUAGAGCCAAUGACAAUAUGUCAUGCAAGUCUGUUUCAUGAAUCUGUGGUGGCAGGCAGAGGGAGUCAGGAAGCAAAACUGAAAGACCAGGGCUCACCUGAAAAGAGCCCCAGCCAUUCUGGGCAACAACAAGGUCCUGAGCUCUUCCAACAAGAACAGCUGCGUUCACAUCAGGACAGCCGCGUGACAAGCUUCUCCUGGAGACUGAACAGCAUCCCAUCAUGCCCACUGGAGCCAGAAGUGAUGCUCAAAGCAAAGACCAGUGCUUCCCCAAAGUGAACCACAGCCAUCCUCAGUGACAACAGCGUCACUCCUCUGACAAUGGCAACAGCCAAGUUAAUAUCAGGAAAGAAGCUCGGCAAGCUCCUGCAGGAGAGCCAGAGGCAACAGGAGAACCAACACUACUACUUCCUCUCCAGUUCACCUUUUUAUGUUAUCCACAGUUCUCAGGUGGGCCACUCACACUGAGCACCUUGCUGAUUCAGCUCAGCUGGAUGUCACAAGUGGACCGCCAGUUGUCAGUCCACCACAAAUGGAAACAAAAAAUGUCCAACAUAGGAAAAAAAAUGAAAUUCAUGAAACAUUCAAACAGAAAUCCAAGAGAUUAAAACUUCCACUGAAAGUAUAUUCAACAUACUGAACAGGGGAGAGGAGAGAAUUUCAGAUCCUGAAGACAGAAUUGCAGCUAGUGAUCAUGAAAAGAAAGAUAUCUUAAAAAUGGCAAGAGACCAGGAAAAACAUCCAACAGCUCCAAGAUGAAACAAAGAAUAAUAGCAUAUGAUUAACCUGGGUCAAUGAGAAAGCAGAAGACAGCACAAAUGCCAUUAAAAAAACCCACAGAAAUGAUGCAGAAAACUUCCCAGGUGUGGGUAAACAAUUACACGUGCAAAUAAAGGAAGCAUAUAGAAUUACAAAUAGCCAUGAUCAGUGUAAAACUAUACCCAGGCAUAAAGAAAUCAGGAUUCCAGAAACUUAGCAUAAGAACAGAAUAUUGAAAGCUGUUAGAGAAAGGGAAACAGAUCACCUAUAAAGGAAAACCCAUCAGAAUCACAGCAGACAUCAACACAAACCCUCAACAUCACCUGGGAGUGAAAUAUUUCAAGUACUGAAAGAAAAUAACUUCCAAACUAGAUUCAUGUACCCUGAAAAACUACCUUUCAAAAUUAAUGGAGAAAUAAGAUACUUCUAUGACAAAGAACAACUGAAGAUUUUAUGACCACCAAACCAACUGUACAAAAAAAUACUGAAGGACAUUCUAGAGAGAGAGAAAAAUGACCAACAUUCCAAGAGCAACAACAGAAGGAAACCACCAUGCAAGGCAAGCAAUUAAAUAUGGGGAAAAUCAGAGAACCAAUAGCAAGAAAAUGUGACAAAGGUAAGCCAAUACAUACCAGUUAUAACCUUCAAAGUAAAUGGCCUCAAUUCACCAAUCUAAAGACAGACUGGCAGAAUUCUUCAAGAAACAAAAUCCAGCAAUAUGCUAUAUACGGAAAAUACAUUUAACUCAAAAGGAAAUUCAUGGACUAGAGUAAAAGGAUGCAAAACAAUCAUCCAUGUAACAGGGACCCAGAAUAAGCAGGAGUAGCUAUUGCAGACAAUGUGAGCUUCACACCAAAAAUGAUCAAAAGAGAUAAAGAAGUUCACUAUAUACUUGUCGGAAAAAUUCAAGAGAUAGAGAUAACAGUCAUGAAUAUGUGUGCACCAAAUACAAGAGCAAUCAACUAUGUAAGACAAUUAUUAAUAGGCAUAAAAAAUCAAGCUAUAACACAACUGUAACGGGAGAACUCAGUACCCCACUAUUGCAAAGAGCUAGAUUAGCUAGAACAAAAAUCAUCAAAGAAAUAUCAGAACUGAACCAAACCUGUGAACAAAGGGACUUAGUAGAUGUUUUCAGAGUAUUCUAUCCAACAACAUCAGAAGGCACAUUCUUUUCAGCUGCACACGAGAUGUUCUCUAAAACAUACCAUGUAGUGGCUCACAAAACCUGCUUAAGCAAAUGCAAAGGAAUUGAAAUUAUUCCAUGCAUAUUAUCUGAUCAUAGUGCACUGAAAUUCAAAAUUAAUGGCCUCAAAACUCCAUAAACACAUGGAAAUUAAAUAACACCCUACUAAACAACUAGUGGGUCACAGAUGAAAUAAGGGAAAAAAUUAAUAUCUACUAAACAAGACUACAGAUACUGCUAAAUUUAUGGAAUGCGAUGAAAGUAGUCCUGGUUGGAAAUUUAUAGUGAUGAAUUCUUACAUCAGGAGAACAAUGAGCACAAAUAGACAACCUAAUAUUAUACCUCUAGGUUCUACAGAAAGAAGAACAAGAGAAACCAUAAACCACUACAAGGCAGGAAACUAUAAAGAUCAGAGCAGAAAUUGAUGCAAGGAAGACCAAGAAAACAAUACAAAGAUUAAUAAAUUGAGUUGGUUGGUUGAAAGAAUAAAUAAAAUGGAUAAACGCUUAGCCAACCUUAUCAAAAGACAAAAGGCUCAAAUUCAUGCAAUGAGGAAUGAAAAGGAAGAAACCACUACAGACCCUGUGAAAAUUCAGAUCAUAAAUACCUACUUCAAAAAUCUUUACUCUCAUAGGAUGGAAAAUGGAGAAGAAAUGGACAGAUUCCUAGAUAGAAAUGACCUGCCAACGCUGAACUAAAAAGAUAUAAAAAUUCUGAACAACCCAGUAUCAGUUAAUGAGACUGAAAAUGUUAUUAAAGACCUACCAACAAGAAAAUCCCAGGUCCCAAUGGAUUCACUACUGAAUUCUACAAGAAAUUUGGAGAUUUAAGGCAAAUACUCCUCAAACUGUUUAAUGAAAUUGAAAGGGAAGUAAUAUUCCCUAACUCAUUGCUAGAGGCAAGUAUUACUCUGAUACCAACACCAGAAAAAGACCCAACCAAAAAGAGAACUGUAGGACAAUCUCCCUAAUGAAUAUAGAUGUAAAAAUAUUCAAUAAAAUACUGGCAAACAAAAUGCAGCAAGUCAUCAAGAUUGGACACCAUGACCAAGUGGGAUUCAUCCCAGUAAUGCAUGGGUGAUUCAACAUAUGCAAAUCAAUAAAUGUAAUAUGUUGUAUCAACAGAGCCAAAGCAAAAAUCACUUGAUCUCAGUAAACCCAGAAAAAGCUUUUGAUAAGAUCUAUUCAUUCUGAUAAAAACCCUAGAGAAAAUCAGAAGAGAGUAUCUCUACAUCAAUCUGAUAAAAGCCGUCUAUGACAACCAGGGAUUUAGCAUAAAUGCCUGCCUGGAAAACACAAAGUCAUGAGAUCAAUCCCCGGUACCCCCCCAAAAAAAGCCAUCCAUGACAAAUCAACAGCCAACAUCAUACUAAUUGAACGAAAACUGAAACCUUUCACUCUAAAAUCAGGAACAAGACAAGGAUGUCCAUUAUCACCACUCUUAUUCAAUAUAGUUCUGGAAUCAUUAGCUUGAGCAAUUAGACAAGAGAGAAGUAAAAGGAAUAAGGAUAGGAAAAGAAGAAGUUAAACUAUCAUUUUUCACAGAUGACAUGAUUCUUUAUGUAGAAGUUUCCAAAAACCACCAAAAGACUCUUAGUUAAUCAAAUUCAGUAGCAUAACUGGAUACAAAGUCCAUAGUCAAAAACUAAUAGCAUUCCUGUACACAAAUAACAAACUCACUGAGAGAGAAAUUAGAGAAGCCACACCCUUCACAAUAGCAUCUAUAAAAAUGAAAUCUUAAUGUAGUAAAGGAAAUAAAAAAUCUAUAUGUUUAAAAGUACAGUACUCUGAAAAAGAUUAAAGAGGAUAUAUAAAAUGGAAUGAUAUCCCUUGCUCAUAGAUGGGAAGAACCAGCAUAGUGAAAAUGGGCAUACUUCCAAAAUUGUUAUACAGAUUUAAUGCAAUAUAGAUCAAAAUACUAUUAGCAUACCUUACAGAACUAGAUAAAACAUUCCUAAAAAUUCAUCUGGAAGCACAAGAGACCUGGGCAGCAAAGGCAAGGCAGGAGGCAUCACAAUCCCUGCUUGGAAUUAUACCACAAAGCUAUUGUGAUAAAAUCAGCAUUGUUACUGGCAAACAAACAAAGACUCAAGGACUAGUGGAACAGAUUAGAAGGUGCAGACACAGCUACAAACACAUAGCCAUCUUUGUCAAAAGGGCCAAACACAUUCACUAGAACAAAGAUGGCCUCUCUAAUCAAUGAUGCUGUAAAAAGUGGCUCUCUACAUGCUGAAGACUAAAUCUUGACCCAUAUUUAUCACUGUGCAUUAAACUAAAGUCAACAUGGGUCAAAGAUCUAAAUAUUAAAACAAACACUAAAUCUACUGAAGGAUAUUCUCAGUAAAAAUCUUGGAAGACAUGGGGUAGGCAGAAACUUCAUGAACAAAGUCCAAACAAUGGGAAACACUUGAAAGAAUCAACAACUAUGAUCUCAUCUUAUUAAAAAGUUUUUGCACAGCAAAAGAAGUCACCAACAGAAUGAAAAGACAACCCACAGAGUGGGAAGAAUUUUUAACCAUCUGUCCCUCAGACAAAGAGCAUUUAUCUAGAACAUAUAAAGAAUUUCAAAAAAUUGGACUCCCUUAAUUUGAAGACCCAAUCCAAAAAUGAGCAGCUGAAAUGAACACUCACUUCUCAGAUGAAGAAAUACAAACAGCAAACAAAUAUAUGAAAAAAAAUGUUCAAUGUCAUUGGUCAUUUGAGAGAUGCAAAUGAAAACAAUACUGAGAUUCCAUCUCAUCCCAGAAAGAAUGGCUGUCAUCAAGAAAUCAACUAAUAGCAAAUGCUGGUGGGGCUGUGGGGGAAAAGGAACCCUUCUCCACUGGUGGGAAUAUAGACAAGUACAAUUGCUGUGAAAAUUGGUGUGGAGAUUCCUGAAAAACACUAGAAGUAGAGCUCACAUUUGACCCAGCUAUUCCCCUUUUGGGUGUUUCCCCAGAAGAGUUAAAAAACAUCAUAUCACAGUCAUUGAUAGCAUGUUUAUAGCAGCACGAUUUGUAAUAGCUAAAUCUUGGAAACAAAUGCACACCAACUGAGGAGUGGCUAAGAAAUGUAGCAUUUUUAUACAGUGGAGCUAUAAAGAAGGAUAAACAUGUAUAAGGAAAUGGGUGCAACUUGAGACUAUCAUCAUAAGUGAAAUAAAUCAGACUCACAUGUAUAAAUGUUGCACUGUCUCUGUAGUGUAAGAAACAGAAAUGUUAGAUAAGAUCCAAAAUGUACAAUAGAUGUUGUGAAAUGGGAAGAAAUUGUGCAAAAGGAAAGAACAAUUAGGAUGAGAGAAAGGAGAAAAAAUAUAUAAACACACACUAAAUAGUUAAGAUAGUUAUACUUCUAAUUGCUAUUAGUUCAUUAAGAAGGAAAGUUUUGGCUUAUGUUGUUUGAUCAGUUUUUCAUGCCCAUAUCUUGUCACAUGAGUAACCUUUAAAAGUAACAGUAUGCAAUGUACUAACCAUUGUUACUCUCCUACAGUCUUAUUUUGAAAUUUUGUGCCAUUGUUUUUUUCUUUAAAAAAAUUUCUUGUUGAUUUUUAAAAAUGACAUAAGCAGUGAUCAACAUUUAAAUUCAUAAAUAUGCGAUAUAUGAAAACUAUGUAUAUUUACCUUCUGUUUUGUAAGAUUCUAUGAUAGUGAAACAAAUUUAAUACGUGGGACAUCUACUCCAUUGAGACAUCAAAUGUAAGAUAGUUUAUGCCUUCAGAGAGUUUAUUCCUUCAGUUUUGGGUGAUAAAAGUUUAUGCAAUAGAAAAAAGCAGAUACAAGUUCCUGUUUGUAAAUUCUGAGAAUUGGCAAGGGUGGCUGCAGAGGAAGGCGACAUUACCUUGAGCAGGGUGACCAUGAGGGACAGAAGUAAAGCAGACUGGCAAGGCACACACAAGCCCGGGCAGUGGGGGACCAGCUGCAGCAGCAUGGAGCUGGAGGCCAGGCCGGGAGCGAAGAAGCCUGGCUGAUGCCAUGGGUGCGACCACCCCGCCUGCCUCCUGUGGGUCCUGAGUGCUCACCGCUGAUCAGCUGCACAGUAACCUGACCCGGAUUAUCCAGAGCUCGCUCUCUCUUUUUUUUUUUUUUUGUCUUUUUCAUUUUUAUCGGUACCGGGGAUCGAACUCACAACCGCCUGCUUGCAAGGCAGGUGCUUAUGCCACUGAGCUAACCCUCCAGCCCUAUCCAGGUCUCUUAAAUCCUGGAACUAAUUUGAGAUCUAACUUGCUUCAUUUAAAAUUAUUCCAUUUAAUCGAAUUUCUGGUUUAAUAGUUUUAUUUUUCCAAUGACUGCUGUUAAAUAAUUAUAUUUAUGAGUGAAUUGCUGUGCUCAAAACCAACUUCUUUUUUUUUAAUCAGUACUGGGGAUCAAACUCAACAACCACGUGCUUGCAAAGCAGGUGCUUAUGCUGCUGAGCUAAAUCCCCAGCCCCCAAAACCAACUUCUUUAAAAUCAACUUUUUAUUCUUUUAUCUUAUACCUUAAUGUCUCUGCCAACAAAGCACACUGCUGAAAUUUUGAGAGCUGUAUUUAUGCUAACAUGGACCAUUCUUCAAAACAACGUUUUGCAGGACUUUCAAAAUCUCCCCUUAAAUGGUGUUUGAAAUGCAGUUCUCUAAAAGAUGUGGCGGUGAAGAGGUUUGCGCUCAGAAUAAAGGACAAAUAAAAAUCUUCAGCCAUUCUCAAGAAUCUAUUCAAGAGAAUCAGCACUGCUAAAUUUCUCUAAUGAAGUAAUUAUUUCAAGCUGUGUUUCUUAAGGAAUAUUUAGUAAUUAAGCUUAUGAGCUCUUAAUGAGAACAAAGUUAAAAUAAAGCACUGAACAGAAUUCUCUUGACUGUUACAAAGCAGCUGUGGAGCACAGACGAAGGCCGUGAUGACCUUGGAAGGCCCUGUGCUACUUUUCCACUGUGUGUGGGCCUGGGCGACAGCUCUUCUGCUUCAGCCAUGGCGCAGGACGAAGUCCUUCCACAGGAAGUUGGCUUCCAGUAUACUCGGUGCCUCCUCUUUGUCAUCUGCCUACCUCCCCCUGAUCGGCUGUGAAUUUUCCUAAGGAAGACAAUCGAUUUGAUCCUUUCAGGUCUCCUAAUACAUUCCUAGUUUCCACAGACCAGAGCUCUGGCUAACUUUAGUGUCCCUCGAGAUGUAAUCAUAUUGCACAGGACAGGAUGUCAAUAAAUGCGAAUUCUCUCUCAUCUUGGUACCACGGAUAGCCAGUCCUCUUGUGUCAGUGCAUGAACACAUCUCCUGAUGUAACAGGGGUGACUGAAGCGUGUGCUCUUGGAUCGCUGUCAUCUCACGGUGGGCUCCAGCACUCUGUGCCACUGAACCGAAGCAUAAUUCCCAGAGGCAGCAAGUGUUAGAUCCUGCUGGCAUUUCCAGAAUAUUCUCAUUAGCAAGGGCUAUGGGCAUCCCGGACACUAACACAAUGGAGUUUUUCUCCUCCUUGUUGAAAGGAAUCUUGGGGAGAGACAAGGAAAGGUGCAAUGCUAGUGGAGGUGGCAUUUCCGUUGUGCUGUAUGGCAGGAAAAACAAUGCAUAGGAACCAGCUCUGAGGGCAAGACAUGCUAGGAGACAGCCGAGGAGGCCAAAUUCAGGGCAGGAACAGGGGACCCCCACACCCUGAAGACGGAUGAAGAGGCUGGUACCGCACGCUGGAGUGGUCCUCUGCAGUGGUCCUGAACUGUUUAAUAUCACUGUGAGGUUGCAAGCCUUAGUUAAGAAAUACUCCAGGCAUCAGUGUUUGGUACAGAAUGCUCAGCCAAGAACCUUACCAGCUGGGUUUAUCUACAGGGUUAGAAGUGUUAGCCAUGGUCACCAGAUGACAGCUGUAGCCAAGAUGGCUGUGGUCAUGUCAGGCUGGACUCCAAUAUACCAUCAGUGGAAACUUCACCUACACCUGUGGUGUCACGUAGCAGAGUCCUUGGCUCAAUCCUCAUGUCAUGGUUUGGGUCUGGAUGUCCCCAAAGCCUCAUGCAGACAUGGAGGAUGGAAUUUUCAGAGGCAGCUGAACCUAGAGUUUGUGACUGAUUCAUGAUCCGAUUCUGGGAUUAAGGGUAUGAGUGCUACACCCGCCCUAGGGCAGGUAGCCUGCUUAGAGUAUAAGGGAAAGAAAAAGGCUUGUCUCUUUUCUCUUGCUUGUUGCUUUUGCUGUGUUCUGCUGCUGCAAACAGUUGCCCCUGUGCCAUGCCACCCUGCCUUGGAGCCAGCCAAUUAUGGACUGAAAUAUCUACAAACUGUUAGCUAAAUAAACCUUUCUUCCCUUUAACUCCAGAUAUUGGGUACUUUGUCUUAGCAACAAGAGAAAAAUAAGAAGACACUUGAGUUAUGCAAAGCAAAUGGGUUUUAAACAAAACCCUAUAUAUACAGGCAGUUCAGAUUAAAUAGGAAAACAUUCUUUCAAGAUAUUUGUGAGAGUAUGGUAGUUCUCUUUUAUACAGAUACAUUCAUGAGACAAACGUGAAGUCUUUCUGAAUAUGGCUUAUAAUCAGCACUUAAUGAAUAUGUCACACUUCAAAAGUGACACCGCAGUAUUAGUUCAGGCAUUAACUAUUCCUAAGCUUUUGGAUGUGAACCACAGAGAACCACGUUGCCCAUGAGAAUCCUUCCUGACUGAAAUGUUAGGAGGUAGCUUCCUCAUAUUCCCAUUUUUUUUUAAGUUUCAUUUGAAAUAAAACUUCAAAAUAAAACCAUUUUUAACUUUAGGAGAGCUAAUUCUGUGAGACAAGUUGAAACUACUCCAGUGAUUUUGGCCGUUAGUCAAGUUACAAGUGUGUUAGUUGCUCAGGAGGGUAACAGGAAAGGUCCUCUGUGUAGGCUGUUUUGCCGUAUUUUACUUGAUGGUGGAACAGUUAGUACAGUAAAGUCAGAAAAUUAAAAAAGCUUCACUGUGCCCAUAAAAUCUGACUUGUAUUUAAUGGAAGACAACAUCAUCAGGAACAACCCUUUAAACUAUGAAACACUGAAACUUAGAUUGAAAUAUAAAUUCACUACUUUAAAAGAAGGCAAGCUUCUAGGCGAGUGUGUGUAUGUGAAAGCACAGGUGUGUGUAUGGCAGACAGAGAAUCCAAGCAUCAGCAAGGGACCUGGCAACUCCCAGUCCACUCCUAGGGGUCAGUUUCCCCAGAGAUCAGAGCACCAUGAGGAUGCUGCUGGUACUAGAUGAUUUCGCAGCACUGUUCAUGAUGGUGAAAUGAACGUAGAUGGAUGAUCACAAAAGGAGGACAAGGUAAGGGUGAAUUUCUUAGAGUUGCAUCUGCUGAAUUGAAGGAUUUCCACAAGGUGCCCUUGGAUGCAAGAAAGUGCCUGAGUGGGACUAUUUUAUGCUAAAUAAAACCUGGGUGGCUGUACAUGUGUGUCAGCAGAUUGUCACAUGAGCACGAAGAAAUGGGAAAAUAAUAUAAGCCAGAUUGUUCAUCUGAAUGUGCCAGAAGAUUCUGUGGAGCUUGGGAAGGAAUACUCAUGCACACAUGCAUGUACAUGGACACACAUGCACAUGUGCAUACACACACGCACACACACAGAGAAGGUACAGGGAACAGCGAUGGCUGACCACGUCAGGAAACACAGGACCCACACAAUCAGGGCCGACUCAGUCCAGCUUGUGCAUCACAGAGACUCCUGCAUGUUUUCUAGCCUUCUCGGUGCCUGUUUUCACUGAGUGACCUGCAGAGCACUGGGGAGUCUCAAGGUGAGCCGCACUUGACAAACCCUGACCCGGGCACCCAGUGAAGCUGGUAGAUGAAUGAGGCCAGUGGAGCACAGAGGGCUUGGAGGUCAAGGUGAGUGAGAAAGGGGCUGGUAUCUGUGAGCUGGGCAGCCUUCUAAUAACAGUAGGUCACAGGUGCACGUUCACUGGAUAGAGCAGUUGGAAUUAAAACAUUUGGGGUUCAGCAGUCUCAGGGGGACAGGGAAGCGCCACUGAGUCUGACCAGGGAGGCAGGGAGUGUGCUGUGGACCCCUUCUCAGCCCGGCCCUUGAGGAAUGAGACACACUGCGCACCUCCUGGAGUGGGGCUACUCUGGGCUGGACACAGCACUUUCUCAGGAGCCACAGGGGCAGGCCUCCAGGGGCAGGGCAGCAGAGGCAGGAAGGACAUCACUGGACCCCACAGAGCUUGCUGCGGGGAUUCUUCACCUGCCUUCCUAGUCUUUCAUAAGGAGUGGGGGGUGCGGGAUUUCUAAGGACAGGCCUGGCACUGGGUGUUCGCUGGACACUGCCUCUCCUUGGGGCAUUCACUGAGAAUGCUGCUGGCAAGUGGGCAUCGAGCCCUCAGGCAGCAUGUACACCGACCUGGGCCAGUGGACUGACUAUGCUUGCCCGCUGGCUCCAGACACCGCCAGCCCGGGUUAAACCCUGACCCACAGGUCAAGGUUCCCAGUUUUCAGAAAGUCCUCAGCUGUCUCCCAGUACGGUGACUGUGCCCGGGGCAGCUUUCAGCUGGACUCAGCUCUCUCUGUCCACUCGAGACGGAACUCGGGUUGAUUUAUGUUAGUAGCGCCCUUCUUCCCCUUGUGGGGAAAUUCCUCAGUCUCGGUGUGCUGACAGUCCCGGUCCCAUCCUCAGAGCUGUUACCAGCUAAACCUUUUCCCUCAUUUCCUGUCAUUCUUGGGGGGGUCUGGAAAGAGGGGUGAUCAGUAGGACAGACAGGAAGAGGUACCAGCAAGGAGCAGGUUGGCAGGGGUGGGAAGGGCAGGGAAAGAGUCCAUCAUGAGGCCAGCAUAUUUGUCCACGUCAAAGGAGUUUGCUGCUGUGUUUUUUCAUUUGAAAAAUUAUUGUCUUUAAUUUUCUUUUAAUAUCUGAAAGGGAAAUUGGCCUUUGGAUAAGUAAAACACUAAAAAGUUAGGGUAAUUUUCCUAAACCUGUUUAACGAGUACUUUUAUCAUUGGGCUUACGACGUUUUGUUUAAUCAACUCUCCUCAGUAGAAAAUGUUACUGCUGAUAUUAUUAAAAAUACUCAUUUUUAAUAUUUGUUUGCAUAAUUAUCUUCAACUUCUGUUUUGACAGGAUUUUCUUUGCCGUUAUGUAAAUUCCUGCAGUUACAGCAGAUGAUUCCAGACAGACUCAUAUUUGUACAAGUAAAAGAAACACACUUUAAAAAAAUAAAUAAAUAAACAUCAACAAAUAAAAAUAAAAUUAAAAUGUAAACUCCAUUUUUCAGAACUUGAAUUUGCAAAACCUGGAAAUUCCAGCCCAGCAGGAAACACCCUCCAUUGGCCUGGGGCUGGGGACUGGUGGGAAAACAUCUGCUGGGAUGUUUACUGCUCAUGCAGAGAGGCUGCACCUCGCUGCCUGUGGCAAGGAGGAACUGGGUGACAACACUGCCUGUGCGUGCAGUUUCGUUUCACCCCAGGACACGUCCUGCUCCUCACCCCCCAGGAAAUAGUCUCGGCAACAUGUAGCGUGUAGGCAGAUGCCUGACUUACAGUGGAACAGCUGCCAUCUGGAGUCAUCUCUGGGAGCCUGAAAAGUCCCUGGCUUGGGCCUCUGGGUUCUCGAGUGGUGAUGAGUCAGCUAUACGGGGCCACCUUUCCCAAGCAUGCUCAGCCUAGUGAGGCCCUUCCUGUCCACGCAUGCAGCCUCCAGGACAGUGUAGAAUCGGGAAACAGACAGAGAUCCCUGUCCUGGACUAUCUGGAGAAGCCCAUUCCCAAGGAUUGAGCACCUCAAUCCAUCCACUUCUCAGAAGGGACCUGGCCACCAGCCUUUGCAGAGGCGCAGCUGUGCAGAUCCAGGUCGCUUACCAGGUGGUCACUCGGGGUGGUCACUGUCCUGGGCUGGUGAGAGUCUGGCCGACCCUGGGUGCCCCAUGAGCAUCAGGUCAUUUGUGCCAACACGCGCCGUGGCCUAUACUUACUUAGGAAAAAAACACAAAAGCAUAUCUCUAGAUAUGACACAAAUACUUAAAUGAACUCAUAUUUUAAUUGGAGAAACAAAAAUCUCAUGCAAUUGUGCACUGAGAAUGGUGUGUACUGGUCCUUUGAUUUUCUUUUCAAAAUAGUGCAGACUCCUGACACCUGGUCUUGGCCCUGCCGUGGACAGCAGCAAUAAAAGGUUAGUGGAUGCCCGCUGAGAAUGAGAACGAUGCGCAGGGACUUUUCAGCGUAGGCAUAGCCGUUCUGCUAGAGAAUUAAACAAGCUCAGAUAUUCUACCUGAUAGUGCUUAGAUUUUCCUAUAGCUUUACCUGAGUGCCUGUGGGAUUGUUCUGGAAUUCUAAGGUAAGUGUUGAGUGUGUGGGUGCAGUGGUAUCUCCCACUCUGCCCAAGUGUCUGCACACAUUCUUGAGUUUCAACGAAUGUUAGACAUCAGGAUUUUUAGCUAUGCUGUCACCUUAUAAUAUUUGGAUAUUUAAAAGCGUUUAUGAGAAGUCUACAUAGCCUUCACAGAAUACUUUGCCACAUAGUAGAAAUUAUGAUAAUGAUAAUAAAAUAGCCCUAAGAAUGUGUGUUUGACUCACACUUACUGUGAACAAAACCACUAUGAAAGAAUCUUUAUGAAAUUGUCAGAAUGUGAUUCAUACCAGAUAUUAGAUUACACUAGGUUGAGCAUUUGUAGGCAAAUGAAUGAGCCUGGAGACCAUAACACUCAGUGACCUUCCUUACUCAGACACAGGAAGAUAAACACACGGUGUCUCCAGUAGAGGUGUAAGUGACCCACAGAACCAGGUAGAGGGGCAGAAGGGUCAGGGGAGCUGAGGAUGACCCAGAUGGGCAGGCGGGUUACGCACCAUCCCAAGGUGGGCAGAGACAGGUCUGGUGAAGUGCUAACUUCUAAGUCUACAGUUUAAGUGCAUGGAUAUUUCUUAGGUUCUUCUUUUCACUGCAUAGUUGAUAUUUUUCAUAAAACAAGUUACAAGGGUAGGAAAAGACGGAAGGGAAGUGGGGAGGAGCCAGGGCAGCGCAUGAGGGAGAGGGCGAAGCAGGAUCUGGAAGGAGAAGCCAGGCUGGGGUCCAGGCCUCUGCUUCCCGGGCCCCUCUGCGGGGUCCUCCUCUCGUCCCCUCCAGCCCCUCUGCUGAGCUUCCUGCCCGCUCCUGUCUGUCUUUUACUUCGCCUUUAUUUACAGAGUCGCUGCUCUGAGUGCAAACCCGGCACUUUCUUCACCCGCUGCUCACCGAGGGUGAACCGGGCUGUUCCCGGGAUCCGGCCACUGCGAGCUGCGUGCGUCCCGCUUCUCUGUGCAGGCGGCGAUGCGCACUUCACGGAGCCGACGGGAACUGAGUUUUCUCUGCAGUGGAUGCCUUGAGGUCUCCAGCACGGGUACAGAAGGACGAGACAGGAAGCGCCCUGAGAGCCCGGCCUCAGCAGUCCUCGCUGGCCGGCCUCAGCUCUGGAGGCCCCAGCCUCUCCUCUGGGGCGCACUGCACCCUGCAGACAGAAGGCAAACCGGUGUAGACGCAGCAGCCAGAUCUGUGGACACCAUGGUCAGGGCGGCUUCGUCCGGAACAGCACACAACUUACAGACGCAGAUGCACACCAUUGAAGAGACAAGUACGUUCAAGGGACAACACGGAGAAUGACCGCGGGCCCCUCCCAGCUCCCACGACUCUCGGGAGACUGCGCACCGGAAGCAGCCAGGAGCAGUCGCUCUGUGCUGAGUCCUGUCCUUGUGCGUCAGGCAGGGCUGAUCACGCCUGGUGAAGAUUAAGAAGACUCUUCUGCCCCUUACAUCACUGGGCCUACCCAGACCUCCAGCCACAGCUGCUGUGCAGACGUCUAAGGCGACAGUGGGCUGGGACUGUGCUGCUCUGCCUUGCAGCAGCCUGCGUCCCUCACGAUCCCGUGGUGUCACCGGUGUGUCUGCUGCCUCCUCUCAGUGAUGCACGUCCAUCUCCCGCACGUGGGUGACCACCUGCGCCCUCAUCUCCAUGGCGCACACCAGUGGUCGCCACCCGGGAGAGGGUCCGCUCCCCCUGGGUCACGUGGACUCUGCCUGCUCACUGUUUCCUUCCCUGCGUCUCCGGAGCACUCAGCACUUGCUCUGACAGGUGGGCGGCUGGCUAACUGAUUCACUGAAGACGUUUCUGGAAAGAAUCCAGAUUGUGUUUUAUAUUUGGCAUAGAUAUUAACACAGGGCCACAGGUGACACAUAGGAGAUGUAAAUACCACAUGAGUGAUUGAGCAUCUCAGUUUCAGAUAUCUGCACAUUAUUAAUACCCAAAUAGCUAAUAGUGACUUACUACCUUUGCAUUCUGAUAGGAAAUCACCACUUACAAUGUGACUUUUAACACAGAAAUAUAAUGUUAGAAUAAUACUAGAAAUAGGAGGAGCAAAAAACUUGGCCCUUAAUUCAUUGGAAAGGUGUCAAAGCACAAAAAGUUUGAAUGUUGUAUUAGUCAAGGUUCUGCAGUAAACUAGAGCCAGAGGAUGGAUGGAUGGAUGGAUGGAUAGGUCAGUCAAUAGACAGAUGAUAGAUGGGUGAACACAUGUAAAUGAGUAGAUGGAUGGAUGCAUAGCUAAGGAUGGAGGGGUGGAUGGGUGAGUAGAUGGCUGGACAGAUGGACAGAAAGUAAAAGAGGAACUGGCUCAGCUGGCUAUGGAGACCAAAGCCCACCACCUGCUGUCUGCUGGAGAAGUAGGAAGCUGGUAACAACUCAAGACCAAGGCACAGGCCUGAGAACUAGGAGCACUUGUACCUGAGGAGAAAAGCGAUGUCUCAACACCAGAAGAAGUUUGCUUUUCUUCUAACAUUUUGCUUUAUUCAGGCUCUAAAGGAACUAGAUGCUGCAUCUUAGGACAUUGAUGAGGGAGACUUUGCUCAGUCUCCUGAUUCAGUCUGCUAACUCUUCCAGAAUCAUAGAUACCCCCAGAAAUAAUGCCUUCAGAGCUUUCUGGGAAUUCUCUAGUUCAUCCAUUGGACACAUCCAAUUAACCAUCGCUGUGGCUAUUAUUUUCUUGUUCUAAAUAAAUACAAAUUUCCAUGUAAAAUAAACAUAAUGUAAAACCUCAA